AUUUGGCUAGCUUUUGGUAUGCUACCAAUUUUGGCUCGCCAUCGUCGAUUUGCCCACGCCCGCGUGCCGCUUCCGCCAAAUCGUGGGCGAAGCAGCGGCGCGGAAAUCGUCCGCCAAAAAAUUGGCUGCCAAAUCUGGCGCGAACCGGGCACUGAGAUAUAAAAGGAAGGAGCGAUUUUUUCUCGCCUGUCCGCCACUUUCCCCUUUCUCUCUUCUCAGCUCCACACAGAGAAACGAGCGCCCUCGAUCUACAAUGGCCAGGCGGCCGUGUUCCGGUGGCCGGCGACGCAGCUCCGGCGGUCGGCGACGCAACUUUACCUCUCGUCCUCCCCUUUCAAUCACCCCACGGUCAAAGGUCAUGGGGAAGCAAAAGCUCAGUGUCAAGACUGAGGAGGACUCCAAUCCUCGUGACUAGAUGGUGGCAAUGGUGGAUCUGCAACUGCUCACUGACUUUCCACAUGAUUAGAUGGAGUUUGUGUCUUCCUUUUGCUUAUAUCGCUAGGAGCAUGGGUAACAUACAUCAUGCAUAUUUUGUCUAUAUAUGGAGCAGGCUGGGUGCAUAAUAUUUUCUUUAUAUGGAGCAGGUUUGAUGCAUGUCUGACUAUUAUCCCUUACAUUGUCUGGUAAAGGGCUUGUUACUAUGUGAAAUUUAUUUUUGCCUCCUUGAUUAAUCUGAUGUAUCGAACAAUUAUGUGAGCUAUCUAAUGUAUUAGUUGAACCAUGUCA